GGUUUUUUCCAGUUUUCCUCCUGGGUGUUCCUGAAAGUGAAUACAUCUCAUUGAAUAUUCCCACCUCUAUCUAAGGAUAAGGAAAAAGGCUUGGAGCUCCUCCAUCCCCUGCACUAACAGAACCUGGAUGACGGACUAUAUCCUGCUUACUACUUGAAGACAAACAGAAGUUCACAAGACCACUGUGACUGAGGAAAUUCUGUAUGACCGAUGAGCAGCUGCCCCUCAAGGAGAUGUCUGACAACCACAACAGCCCUCUCCUGCUAGAGCCUCUUUCCAGCAGACACAAACUCUACGAGUCAGAGCCGAGCAGCCC